CAGAACGACUCCCGGCAACGGAUAUCUUGGCUCUCGCAUCGAU
rnacentral:rRNA from 1 species